GACGAACGCUGGCGGCGUGCUUAACACAUGCGAGUCGAACGGAAAGGCCUGCUUUCCCUUGUGGAUUGCGGGUACUCGAGUGGCGAACGGGUGAGUAACACGUGAGUGAUCUGCCCCCAACUUGGGUAUAAGCCUGGGAAACUGGGUCUAAUUCCCGAUAGGACUGCAGGGUGGUGCCUGUGGUGGAAAACGAUUUUCUAGUGGUUGGGGAUGAGCUCGCGGCCUAUCAGCUUGUUGGUGGGGUAAUGGCCUACCAAGGCGGCGACGGGUAGCCGGCCUGAGAGGGUGGACGGCCACAUUGGGACUGAGAUACGGCCCAGACUCCUACGGGAGGCAGCAGUGGGGAAUAUUGCACAAUGGGCGGAAGCCUGAUGCAGCGACGCCGCGUGGGGGAUGACGGCCUUCGGGUUGUAAACUCCUUUCGACCGCGAGGAAGCCACCUGGUUGGAAGGGUGGUGACGGUAGUGGUAGAAGAAGCACCGGCUAACUACGUGC
rnacentral:rRNA from 1 species